GCUGGCGGCGUGCCUAAUACAUGCAAGUAGAACGCUGAAGGAGGAGCUUGCUUCUCUGGAUGAGUUGCGAACGGGUGAGUAACGCGUAGGUAACCUGCCUGGUAGCGGGGGAUAACUAUUGGAAACGAUAGCUAAUACCGCAUAAGAGUAGAUGUUGCAUGACAUUUGCUUAAAAGGUGCAAUUGCAUCACUACCAGAUGGACCUGCGUUGUAUUAGCUAGUUGGUGGGGUAACGGCUCACCAAGGCGACGAUACAUAGCCGACCUGAGAGGGUGAUCGGCCACACUGGGACUGAGACACGGCCCAGACUCCUACGGGAGGCAGCAGUAGGGAAUCUUCGGCAAUGGACGGAAGUCUGACCGAGCAACGCCGCGUGAGUGAAGAAGGUUUUCGGAUCGUAAAGCUCUGUUGUAAGAGAAGAACGAGUGUGAGAGUGGAAAGUUCACACUGUGACGGUAUCUUACCAGAAAGGGACGGCUAACUACGUG
rnacentral:rRNA from 1 species